AACCUUACAGACUUGUGAAGAGGAAGUACUUUUUCUUCUGGUUAAAUUUAAACAAUGAAUUUGCCUGUCAUCAAAUUUACAACUAAAUGAACUAUUACGUAAUAAUUCCAACCCCUAUGUAGUAUAAAUUAUCCUUUGUUUGUUAUUUGCCAAUGCAUGUCUUUCCUCCUUAUAAUUUCUCAUUAAACAGAAGGUUCAUCGGCAAACAAGCUUCAAACGAAGGAAAGUCAUCAAAGAGAGGAAAGCAUACUGCCGAUGCCCAAUGGGAAAAACGGGUACUAUGUCUCUUUCUCUCUCAUUCUUAACCUCUUUUCGGUCUUGCCAUUAGAUAACAUUUGCAUAACACCACUAAAGAUGCAGAGGAGGAGGAGUAGACCAAGGAAUGCGAGUAAUCUCUCUCGAUAAGUGGAAACUUUGAGUACUCUCUCUCACUCUUCCCUCUAAUGGUUAUGUUUUAUGAACUUCAUAUACAUCUGCAUGCAUGAUUGGGAUGUUUCAUGGACACAUAUAUACUUUACCAUAUGCAUGGUCAUUUCUUUCUAUAUACGCCUGUCUUCAAUAUAUUGAAUAUGGUAACAGGAAUCUAAUUAUGCAGAAGCUGAGAAAGACAAAGUCGAGGAGCGGAAGGCCAAGGAAGCUAUUAAGUUGGUUUGCAUUUACCUUAUGACAAUAUGCUUUAUGGCAUCACUAUAACUUUAAACCAUAUAUACUCAAGUCUUUGAAACUGUUUGAACAGUCUUUUACAUAAAAGAGCAAUGAAAAGUUAGUUUUCCUGGUUA
rnacentral:lncRNA from 1 species